rnacentral:tRNA from 1 species
CAUUAUAUAAGUUAGUUAAACUAAAGGUUUGUGGAGCCUUAAAAAUCAUAUGAUUGUAAUGU